rnacentral:rRNA from 1 species
GGAAACUCCGGCUAAUACCCCGUACGCUUGCCGCAUCGCAUGGUGUGGCAAGGAAAGGUAGCUUCGGCCAUCCGGCGAAGGAGGGGUCCGCGUCCCAUUAGCUAGUUGGUGAGGUAACGGCCCACCAAGGUUACGAUGGGUAGCUGGUCUGAGAGGAUGAUCAGCCACACUGGGACUGAGACACGGCCCAGACUCCUACGGGAGGCAGCAGCCAGGAAUCUUGCACAAUGGGCGAAAGCCUGAUGCAGCAACACCGUGUGGGCGAGGAAGGCCCUAGGGUCGUAAAGCCCUGUUGUUGGGGACGAA